rnacentral:rRNA from 1 species
AGCUUGCUGGGUGGAUUAGUGGCGAACGGGUGAGUAACACGUGAGUAACCUGCCCUUAACUCUGGGAUAAGCCUGGGAAACUGGGUCUAAUACCGGAUAGGAGCGUCCACCGCAUGGUGGGUGUUGGAAAGAUUUAUCGGUUUUGGAUGGACUCGCGGCCUAUCAGCUUGUUGGUGAGGUAAUGGCUCACCAAGGCGACGACGGGUAGCCGGCCUGAGAGGGUGACCGGCCACACUGGGACUGAGACACGGCCCAGACUCCUACGGGAGGCAGCAGUGGGGAAUAUUGCACAAUGGGCGCAAGCCUGAUGCAGCGACGCCGCGUGAGGGAUGACGGCCUUCGGGUUGUAAACCUCUUUCAGUAGGGAAGAAGCGAAAGUGACGGUACCUGCAGAAGAAGCACCGGCUAACUACGUGCCAGCAGCCGCGGUAAUACGUAGGGUGCGAGCGUUAUCCGGAAUUAUUGGGCGUAAAGAGCUCGUAGGCGGUUUGUCGCGUCUGUCGUGAAAGUCCGGGGCUUACCCCGGAUCUGCGGUGGGUACGGGCAGACUAGAGUGCAGUAGGGGAGACUGGAAUUCCUGGUGUAGCGGUGGAAUGCGCAGAUAUCAGGAGGAACACCGAUGGCGAAGGCAGGUCUCUGGGCUGUAACUGACGCUGAGGAGCGAAACAUGGGGAGCGAAAGGAUUAGAUACCCUGGUAGUCAUGCCGUAACGUUGGGCCUAGGUGUGGGGACCUUCACGGUUCCGCGCCGCAGCUACGCAUUAGUGCCCGCUGGGAGACGGCGCAGGCUAAACU